rnacentral:rRNA from 1 species
AGUGAACGCUGGCGGUAGGCCUAACACAUGCGAGUCGAACGGCAGCACAGUAAGAGCUUGCUCUUACGGGUGGCGAGUGGCGGACGGGUGAGGAAUACAUCGGAAUCUACUUUUUAGUGGGGGAUAACGUAGGGAAACUUACGCUAAUACCGCAUACGACCUACGGGUGAAAGCAGGGGAUCUUCGGACCUUGCGCGAUUGAAUGAGCCGAUGUCGGAUUAGCUAGUUGGCGGGGUAAAGGCCCACCAAGGCGACGAUCCGUAGCUGGUCUGAGAGGAUGAUCAGCCACACUGGAACUGAGACACGGUCCAGACUCCUACGGGAGGCAGCAGUGGGGAAUAUUGGACAAUGGGCGCAAGCCUGAUCCAGCCAUACCGCGUGGGUGAAGAAGGCCUUCGGGUUGUAAAGCCCUUUUGUUGGGAAAGAAAAGCAGCAGGUUAAUACCCCGCUGUUCUGACGGUACCCAAAGAAUAAGCACCGGCUAACUUCGUG